CCCUGCCCCUGUCUUUCACAUGGGCUGUAAUUUAGUUCAAUUCAGAACUGCAGAUAGUACGGCUUCCACAGGAGCAAAGGAUGCCUGAGCAGAAGUGGCUGAGUUCGAGGGACUUUAUGAAGCGCUUCUCUGCCCUUCCCCCGGCAUGAAAAAAACAGGGAUUCUGCACCUGCAUCAGGGACAGUCUGGUCAAAGGCUCUGCUCUGCCUCCGGGGACAAGGAACUAGAGCAAAUAACCAUUUUGAAAUUGCAUCUUAAAAUGACCAACAAAUUUAAGAACAGAACCGAAGGCAGUUUGAUCUACAUCUCCCAUGACAGUUCCACAGAGACUGAAGAAACAUGAAUGUCUCCAAAGGAGAGUAGAGAGCUUCGUUAGUUGUACCCUAAAAUUAGAAUGUGAUUAAGGUAUGUCAUUUCUCUGAGCUCAAUGGAAAUGCUUUGUUCUUUCCAUGUUAGAGAAUUUCUUCCUUUCUUCUCCAGCCUCUCCCCUUCUCUCUCCUCCCUUUCCCUCUCCCUCUCCCUCUCCC
rnacentral:lncRNA from 1 species